AAAUGAUAAAUUCAAUAUUUAGAAUGGGAAUUCCCAUUUCUGACGAAAGACUGAGGAACAGCAUACCUAACCAACAAGGAAGUAGAACACAGUUAACAUCUAGAUCUAGAUUCUAUAUUUACUUGGUUGAUUUCAACAUCUUAGAGUGCUUUGAGCUUUGUCUAGAUCUACACAGUAACUUACAAGCCUUUCUCCUUUUCGACUUUCGAACAAACUUGUGUUACAUUGUGAGGAGAAAAAUAACUUACUGGAUAAUACCAGUGUCAAAGAAAAGCCUGAGGCUGAGACAUCCGAUAAACCAAGCGAAACAAAGAUGGCACUUGUUACUGAAGAAACAGAAUUUGAAGUAGUAAUGGAGGAGAAUAGAAAACUUCAUAAGAAAUUACAUUGCAAAAACUGCAGAAAGAAUGAGAGCAAUGUGUUAAUGUCCCCUUGUGGUCAUCUCAUCUGCAAGGAAUGUGAAAGUUCUGUUACAACAUGCCCUGAUUGUAACACUAAAGUAGACAACACAAUGGACGUUAUUAUUCCAUGCUGAUGUUCAAGACACAUCUUUCACACUUCAAAGCAAAGUACAGCAGGAAUUGAAUUGAUUUUUAACAUUUUUUAUGCUUAUUAUUUUUUAAAGACUUGUGUAUUCUUAAGUUUAAUAUCAAAACUGUCUGGACCAUUGAUUUUGUCCUAUAUGUAUAGUUAUUAGGGAUGAUUCUUCAACUGAAUACAAAAACCCUAAUAAUAUAUGUAUAUAACAAAUCAGUAGUCUAAGUGUUGAUGUAAUCUUAUAUGUUCUGACAGUUUAUGAUAAAUUGUUGUUCUACAUUUCAACCACACUAAACGGUCCCAAGUCCGUUAAUGGAAAAUCAAGCAAAUAUACAAGAAUAGUAGGCCUAAUUCUAAUUUUUUUGAAACAGCCAUAGAAAAAAAUCUUAUAUUUAGACCAUGUGUAUCAAAUUAGUCUAUUUUUUCACACACAAGUACUGUUAAAAAUAAUUUUUAAAAUAAUUUAUUUAAUUAAUAAGAAGAUUAUUAAUUUACUCUAUUUUUAAAUAUAUGCUGAUUUUCCAGAGUGGGAGGGUUGAGCUAUUUUCUACAUAAACUAAAGAUUUUGUUUAUUUAGAAGCCAUACUAAAUGACAUCUAUGAAAGAUGUCAUUUGGUAUUUCUUCUAAACAAAAAAAAGCUUUAGUUUUGGAGCAGGUUUUUGCUUGUAAAAAUGUAGAAAAUAUCUGAACUCUUUCAUAAUAAGUCAUUGUUUUCAUAUAUCAACUAUUUCACUGUUUUAUAAUAAAUACUCAAUAUUUAGUUGUUUAAAAUACUUUAUUUGGUUUGCAAGUCCUAGUUGUGGGAUAUUGUGUACACACUGAAACUCUGAUUUAUUUAUAUGUAUUAUGAUAAUGCUAUUAUCAGAUGAGUUGUAGAAACAAUAUUAAUAAAAAAAACAACUACAUUUUAGUGAAUUGAUGCUCAGAUGUUUUUCAAUUUUCAUUUAAAUGAAUAAUAUACUGUUCAAUGUGCUACAGUUUUACUAUACUCAAAAGUAGGUUUACUGCGUAGUUAGCUUUACGUCUAGAAAUGGAGAAAACACCAUGAUAAUUUCCAUUGUUAUUAUUUUCAUACAAAGAUUUUAAUGUCUGAUAUAGAUUUUUUAAAGUAAACUUUAGCACUUGUAAUUUUAUAAAUUAUUCCCUAUUUUCAGCUAUUCAAAUAUGAAGAGAUACUCUAUAUAAACUGAAUGUACUUUUUUUUAGCAAUUAACAAAUAGGAAAGAAAUGGUGACAUCUAGAUAAGUAAUUUGUAAACCAGUAUUUCUUUAAAAUAAACAAAGAUUUUUUUUUAUAUGCAAUGUUUUCCUAUACUACAAUUGUUCAUAUAUUUUAAAGCUCUUUGGUCAAAAAGAAAGCGAAAUUAAAACAAUGUACUUUUUAAGACUUAGUUUUCCAACAUUGUAUUUUGUAACUUAAGCAAAAUGUAUUUAACGUACUUGUACUACAACAUCUUUAAACCAAAUAAAGUUAUUUUAGUCAAACUUGCGUUCAACCAAUCAUGCUAUAUAA